rnacentral:rRNA from 1 species
AGAGUUUGAUCAUGGCUCAGGAUGAACGCUAGCGACAGGCUUAACACAUGCAAGUCGAGGGGCAGCGGGGUAGCAAUACCCGCCGGCGACCGGCGCACGGGUGAGUAACACGUAUCCAACCUGCCGUCUACUCUUGGACAGCCUUCUGAAAGGAAGAUUAAUACAAGAUGGCAUCAUGAGUCCGCAUGUUCACAUGAUUAAAGGUAUUCCGGUAGACGAUGGGGAUGCGUUCCAUUAGAUAGUAGGCGGGGUAACGGCCCACCUAGUCUUCGAUGGAUAGGGGUUCUGAGAGGAAGGUCCCCCACAUUGGAACUGAGACACGGUCCAAACUCCUACGGGAGGCAGCA